rnacentral:rRNA from 1 species
GACGAACGCUGGCGGCGUGCUUAACACAUGCAAGUCGAACGGAAAGGCCCUGCUUUUGUGGGGUGCUCGAGUGGCGAACGGGUGAGUAACACGUGAGUAACCUGCCCUGGACUUUGGGAUAACUUCAGGAAACUGGGGCUAAUACCGGCUAGGAGCUCCUGCUGCAUGGUGGGGGUUGGAAAGUUUCGGCGGUUGGGGAUGGACUCGCGGCUUAUCAGCUUGUUGGUGGGGUAGUGGCUUACCCAGGCUUUGACGGGUAGCCGGCCUGAGAGGGUGACCGGCCACAUUGGGACUGAGAUACGGCCCAGACUCCUACUGGAGGCAGCAGUGGGGAAUAUUGCACAAUGGGCGGAAGCCUGAUGCAGCAACGCCGCGUGCGGGAUGACGGCCUGCGGGUUGUAAACCGCUUUCGCCUGUGACGAAGCGUGAGUGACGGUAAUGGGUAAAGAAGCACCGGCUAACUACGUG